CAGGAGCAGUGCCAAGGCUGGGCUGGCUCUGCGCCUCAGCGUGGGCACUGCUCCAGAC
rnacentral:pre_miRNA from 1 species